ensembl:lncRNA
CCACCGAACCCGGUUGACCUAAGUGGAGCUAGGUGUGAAUGAAACUGGCCUCAUUUUGGGUUUUUUUUUUGAGCUGCUGGAGAUGAAACCCAGGGCUUCGUGCAUGCUAGGGGAUCGAACUCGGGCCCUUGUGCUUGCGCAGCAGGCGGCGAAACCACUGAGCUACACCGCGGACCCCAUCACGCUUGUUUUGAAUUCACUUUUGUAUCUUGUGGGGCCUAACAGAGUCCGUUAUUUCAUUCAAUGGGCUAUUUAUUUGCAGUUCUGGGGACUGAACACAGCUACAUUCCAGCCCUUUUAAUUUUUAUUUUACUUGCAGUAUUGGGGAUUGAACCAAGGGGCGCUCUACCAGUAAGCUACAUCCUAGCCCAUUUUAUUUUGAGACAGGGUCUUGCUAAAUUGUCCAGGAAGGCUUUAACUUUCAAUCUUCCUGCCUCAGCUUACCCAAUAGCUGGGAUAAUAGGCAGGGGCUAUCAAACCCAGCUCAGUGUCUGUUUAUCAGGCAUCUACUACAUGCUAGGCCCUGCAGACUCAGGGAAAAAGAAAGGCACACCGUUUUCUCCACGGUGAAGCAGCUAUGUCCUGGCAGUUCCCCCCAGGUGGUGUGAGAAGCAAUGAUGACACCAUCAGAUUAUGCGAUCCAGGUUUUAGCCUGGUUCUCAUGGAAUCAUGGUGCUCACUGCUUUCUCUGCCAGUUCUCAGGACUUAGAUGCCUCAUCUUAGGGAAUGGUCCUACAAGGUGGAUUUUUAUUGAUUUUACUGAUUAGGAGAUAGAUCCAGAGAGUUCGAGUAACUGGCCCAAGCCCACGGACCUGUGAGGAGAGGAGGUCAGCUAUACCAGCUGAUUUGAAAUCUUAAGCCCUUGUCCUCUGAGCUAUAGUUAGGGGUUGUAUGAGGCCAGUAGACUCUUUAACAGGGUGAGGAUUUAGGAGCAAGCAGAAGUGAGGGCUGAGACCCCUGAAGGAUGAAUGAGGCAAGGUGGGGUGGAGGCAGCCUCACAGGUCCCCAGAGUGAGGUGGAGCUGUGCUCAACCUUAAUGAGCUCACUCAGUACGCCUGGAUUUUGACUGAGCACCAGAACCAAGAGGUAGUGACUGAAAAGUCAGAGUGUCACCUUGUAGCCAGUAUUUUGGGCAAGGGGAAAUGUGAGAACCCUCAGCUUUCAAAGAACACUAGACCCUCAGUGUUGAUAUUUACAGGUGGUGGAAGCCAGACCCUGGCCUGAGAGAUGGAGAAGCCAUUCCUUAAGGUGCCCAGAGCAUGCCAGGGACUGUGGGUCAGAGGAAGUCUCGGGAGAAGACAGCAGCUGGCCUGGGCAGGGUGGUGGACAGGGACCCGCAUUCCAGCUCUGGGUCUGCAAACAGCACUGUUUCCUGGGGAAACAGUAACCCUGGCCAGGUUCCUCUGUUUGCUCCUCUGUAAGGGCACAAGGGUGUGAUGAAGUCCCACGAGGUCCCACGACAAAUACGAAUGGAAAAAGUCAAGACUACUAAAUGGUGGAAAGCCUCUCAAGUGCUGGGAUGACAGGCAUGCACUACCACGCCAGGCUGCUAAAAGCUUUUGCUUAUAGCUGGGAAGAAUAUGCUAGGGAUGUUCCAUGCUGCCAACACUGACUUCAAGAGGGAGGCUGGCAACCUCCUGGGAAAGGAGUGUACAGAGAUAACUGUUAACACAUGAAGUACUGCUCGCUCUGAGAAGGUUCUGAGAAGCCAAGCCUGGGAACAGUCCCUCUAGCCACGCAGGCCUGUUGGGACCAAGUCACUUUUGUCUGAAUGCAGUACUUAAGGAACAGAGAAACUGGGUAUGGUGUGGUGUUUUCUCUCUUGCUUGUUGAAGGCUCCAUCUCAUAAAAGAUCCUUCCCCUGGAGGAUUCCCCUUCAUCUUUGGUGCUGUCCCUUACCUUGUGUGGUAUUAUUUGACUAUGCUUAUUAUCUGCUGUACUUUUAUAAUAAACUUACUUUGAUCUUUUAAAAAUCAUUGUGUGGCUCUUCUCUGUUCAUGCAGAUCCGAACCUCAAAUUUCUGUGGCUGCAUACAUGUCACUCCUUGCUGUCACACAUAGUGAAUCUCCUGACUUGUUACCCUGACUUGGCAACUGUGGUGCACACAGAGAGGCAAGUGGAUGAGGAGAAUGAAAGGGAUAACUUAGCUCUUUGCUCGAAUAUGAGCUGGGUCAGAAUAACUGAUGUGAACCCUGGGGCUCAUCCUGUAAUUUCUUCACUCUAUCACAGAGCAUUCUGAAAGGGCAGUUUUAAAUAUUUCCUCAUGUAAACAUCAGGGUGUCUUGUGCCUAAACAUGGUCAUUUCCCACAAACGAGCCACUGCCUCUGCUGCACUAACCAC